AAGCUAUUAUUUAAAUGCUUUCUAUAUACAAGAUAUCUUCAAAAUAGUUGUUGAAAAAAUAGAUGAUCUUUAACAUACUUUCAACCACACGUAUCCACACCGUCAGGCAUUCAGAACGUUUUUUGAAAAAAAAAAUUAAAAAGGGCAAAAUGUAUGUGUAUUUUGAAAUUUUUGAAAAAUCAUUAUUGAACACAAAAUUUAAAAAAAUUUUAAGAGGAAUUUGAGUUUUUAUUUGAUUUAGCAAAUAAUCUGAAUAAACCCGAGCAAAACUCGGAAAUGGCCAGAUUUGACUAAUCUGGAAUCUCUUUACUGGAUAAGGUAUUUCCCGACUUGUCAACAGAACAGCUGAUUUCUCAUGUUUACAAUUUUCGGCAGCUGGUGGUAGGGUAAAAAUAACAACAACACUACGCAUGUUCAAUGGUCGGAUAGUAACGAAACCAAAUUGGCGGUGCAAAAGUAAUGGUUAUGCAAAAUUCUUAAUUUUUUAAACUACCUUAAACUAAAUAAUUAUAGACAUGAAAUACUUUGAAGGUAAUGUUGAUGUUAUGUAAUGUUAAUUUGAAAAAAAUAAUUUCUUUUGAAGAAAUAAUUGAACAGUGCUAGCCUCCCAAGUUCAAAAUGGCGACCAGUAGGUGUUUACAUUUUUCAAAACAAAAACAAAAAGCUACCCUACCACUAUCUGUCUCAGGAAAUGCUCUAUUGAUGAGCAAGCCGGAAUAUAUCCAGAAAAUCUGUAAUAAACCAUAAUGAAAGUAUGGUUUAUUACGCGUAUUCUCCUGCACGGUCUUCAGUGAAAGAUACGCGGAUACACCUUAGAUGUUUUACUGAAACCAUGUUUUCCCUUUUUUAUAGGAAUUUAACCCUUUAAGGUCAUUCUUCCUAGUAAAUAAUUGUUGAAACCAUAAGUUUUCAAUGAUUGUGUGGCCUUUACAACAUAACUUUUGGAUAUUUUAUAAAUUAUCCAAAAAAAAUUGAAAAAUUUACAAGUCUGUAGUAGAUAUUCGGCCUAUUCGGCCUAUUCGGCCGAAUACUUAGCUCAACUAUUCGGUGAGCCGAAUAUUCGGCUUAACGGUUUUUCGGCGGUAUUCGGCGCCGAAUAUUCGGCCGACCGAAUAUUCGGUACAUCUCUAAUUUUUAGGGUUUAAUUUAUAAACAUUUUUAAUACUGAUCUACAAAAAGGACUACCCGCAUAGCUAAGAACCAUACUGUGAAUCUUGCGAACCAUUUGGUUCUGAUUACAUUAAUAGUUUCGAUUGCUUUUGGGUCAUUGCUAAUGUGCCUUUGCUAGAAACCAAUUAAAAACCAUUGUUAAAAGAUACGUAUAAUCUUCCAAGAAAUUAAUUGAUUAAUUUGGCAACGCACCGAUAAGAUACAAAAUUAUUCAUGAAUGAUUCAGUUGAUAUUCAUAAAAAAUAAUCGUAUAUUUUAGCAACGCUCCUCACAUUUUUUCUGCUGUCAGCAUAACCCGCGUGGCAAAAAUUGUGAAAAAAAAUUAAUCUCCCGGAAAAGUGUUACCAUUUUGGUCAGGUUCUGAUGAAUCUAGAUUCAUCAUGGGUGCGGUAGGCAACAGAAACGGUUCCGGUGUUACGAGGGUGAGUACACUGACUUAUUUAUUUAUUUAAUCGAGUGUCUCACAAAAAAACCGACGGCUAAGAAUGAUGGUGCAUUUCGUUCCGGAGCUGAAGUGCUGAAGCUGGAAGCCAAGGAAGGUUCAGCAGUGCUGCGGCAACACGAAAGAGGAUGGAUCGGAACUGCCAUCGCAGUUGGUACCGAAGUGCUGCAGGAUUGGGAACAUCCGGAAGGUGUAUCCGCAGAUUGCGGAAGGUUAGUAUUUUAAUGAUGAAUCAUGUAAUAAAAAUCGUGUAAAAUAAAAUAAAUUAGUAAAUCAAAUUUCUUUUCAUAUUUUUUUUCCGGAAAAUUAAUUGAAAUUUAAUAAAAUGUAUAAAAUCUCACCAUGGGGUUGAAUCUUUUCAUUGUUGGUUGACGAUAAGUUGUAACGUCAUCUUUUUAUGAGCGGAUCAUAACACAACGAUAACACGUAUGGUCAACUCGUUGAAGAUUGAGUAGAAAAAAGCAAAAAAAUUGAAUGGUAACUCUACUUAACGACCCGUUCGAUAUAUCGUAAAGUGCGUCCAAACGAUUCCAUGUCAUGAAAAAAUGAUAAGCCUUAUCUUACUUUAAUAAUCCAAAACUAUAGAAGUAAUCUUUUUGUUGUCUUGGGAAGAAGAUAAUGGGAAUAGUCACUAUAUAAUACUGAUUCAUGCGGGUAGUUUCUGCAGCGAAUGAUGUAAUUGUAGUAUUUUUAUUGACUAAAAAAGUGCACUUUUUGAUUGUUUGGAUUUCAAGGUUCGUGCUGUACGGACAAUUUUUUGAUACAGUGUAUGUAUGCGCAGUUUUAUAUUUUUCAAAAUGUAUUUUUAUAAAUAAAGAAUUAGAGUUAAUAAUAUUUUUUAGAGAAAUCAUUUUUAAUUUGCUGAAAUUUAUUUUAUUCGUGAGAAAACAAUUUCUUAAUUGCUGGCAUCCCUUCAAAAUAUACAGAAUUGACUAACUGGGUGAAAGCUUUCGAAUGUGUAAAACAGGGAGAUGGCAUCCCUAUCCUUUGUCAUUGAAUUUGACAACCAUCAAAAUUACGGGCCCACACUGAUAAAUCGUUUCACACAUUUUACAAAAUAGUUUCACACAUUAUCAGCAAAUAUAUGGAGCUGUCAAGCUGAAGUGAGUUUUUUACACACCAUGCAAAUUCCAAAUUUACACAUUAUCCGAAUUAGCGAAUCAAGGAAAAAAUGUGUGAAAAGUAAAGUCGUUGUGUAAGAUUUGUCUUUACCUUUGUGUGAGACGAAGUAGAAAUCAUCAGUGGUAGAAACCAUCCAUCGUGCAAAUUCUCAUGCUAAAUUGCUGUCUCAAUUUAAGGAAUGUAUGAAAAAAUAAUGGUAAGUAGUCGAUAGUAUUUGAAUGUAAAAACCAAAUCGACUAAAGCCUCAAUUUAUAUUUCAGAUCCUGCCUCCUCUUGCUGGGAGAAAAAGUUCACGGAAUUGUUCCCCCUACAGCACAUCGAGAACUAGGAUUUUGUACAUAGAUCAUACAUUUUUCCCUUAGCUCAACAAUUUCCGUUUAACUAUGCGUACAUAAUAAUAUUUGCUUCAAUAAAAACCAAUUAAGUUGCAUAUCUGGAUGUUUUUAUUUCCAAACAAUUGAAAACCAAUUAAACUAGCCUUCCUGAUUGAAACAUAGUGAAAUUUUCACACAUUUUACCGUUUUAAACGCUUUUUGCAUAAUGUGUGAAACGCUCACAUUUCGUUUCCUUAAGCGGUUUUUCCCAUUAGUGUGCAGCGGUACCUUCACACAUUUAAUGUGUUGGUCUACUUAUUUCCAAAAUGUGUGAAAUUUCACACACUAAUGUGUCAAAUAUUUUGUCCGUGCACGAUUUUGUGGGCCCAUAACAAACCUGACAUUUUGCUGUCAAGGACCCGAACUAAAUGUCAAAUGCUAGAGAAGUAUGGUUGAUAGCACACUAACACAUCAAUCAUUCUGAUUCCUCAUUGGUUGAAAUUUUGACUUUUUAGGCUUCGUACUGCUUUGAGAGGAAAACACCAUAAACGUCUCUCCCGAUGGAUAGAAAAAAAGAAGUAGAUUCUUGUUCGAAAGAAGAACUAGAUUGCCACCUCCCUGGUGUAAAAGCUUUUUGCUCACGCUCUGUGUAAAGCGCCCAAACAUAAAACUAAGUGGAGACACUUUUCUCUAAUCUGUAUGGAUUUUUAUACAGAACACACAGCUAGAAAAAUUCGUGUAAAUUUAGAUCGAAAACGAUGCACGAAAACGGAACAUCGAUUUUGAUGUAAAAUUCUAUCACGGUGUAUUUUUUCCGAGGAUGUAAUUUUUGAGGCGUGUAAAUUUAGAUCGAAAUCAAUGCACGAGAUUGGAUCACAAAAGCCGUCGUGUAAAAAUAAACAGGGAAGUAAAUUUUAAAAUUUAUUUUCGUAAAUAAUGAUAUUUUUUCUAAAUAUUAAGGUUUUUGCUUUUGUCUUGAAUAAAUACGCCGCAUGUAUCAUUUUUAAUUCACAUUUAUUUACAAAACUGAACAUAAAAAUCAUUCGGAAAGUGUCAGGCUGAUAUUGUUGUUGCAUCCGAUGAUUCCCAGCACGGGGAUGUUUUUCGAAUCAGCAUGAUCAGCAUCCUCGAAUGGUUCCGGAAAUCAUAAUUUUUCGGUCAGCAUCCUGCACACUCGAAUUGUUCUGACAAAAGUUUCUCCGGAUAAUCACUGGCCGGAUAUCUGCCGCUGCGAAAAAUCUGACCUUGCUGUAAUGGAGAGAAAACUUAUCAGUUUCAACCAUAUUCUUUAUUUCACGUCUCAUAAACUUACUACUUUAAAGACUCUUUAAGUGCUCCUGUAGCUACGCCUUUGAAUGACUCGUUUCCGAAUAAUUUUCCGACUUGUUUACUUUGUGCCCGACGCGCAAACUAACUUGAAAUAUAAAAAGGCACAAUUUAAAUAUUUGCAUUCAAUUUUAAAUCAAACAGAUAUAAUUUUACACUGUUUGUGAUAUAAAUUUCGUUGACCGGUUGAUUUUUGCAUGAUGCAGUGUAAAAUUAAAUCAAAACAGUUUAUUUCUAUUCAAUUUUAGGAAAUAGACUAAUAAUACAUCGAAAGAAGUUUAAAAUUACAUCUUUUUGUAAUUACACUCAAGAAAAAAUAGAUCACUCGUGUUUUAGAUUCCGUGUACUUUUAGAAAUUUUUUGCUGUGCAGAGUAACUUUGUUUACCGUGCAUAGUCAUCAUGGGAUGAACUUUGUACACUGGAAAAUAUGUCUGUGAAUAUAUCAAAACUUAAUUCCUACACCCAAAAUAAUCUGCACGUAGCGGCUACGUGAAAAACUAUAUAAUUUUUAUCCACUUGAUUUCCACUAGUGAACCUGUAUAUAAGAGAAGUGACAUCUGAAACACAAAAUUCCAAUCGAGCAAAAGAACUGUCAAAAUCGAUUCCAAUCGAUCCGAGCAUUUUGUCGCAGAACUUUUACUUUUCUUAUUGAAAACUUAACCAAGGAAGGUAUUGCGUUUCUUGUUAUAGUUCAAACAGAUAAUUUUUUAGCUGGUCAUAUGAACUUAUGAUUAGGUGCAAUUUUUUUUAAUGCUUUGGUGAAUCAUGUUUCUAGUUAGAAAGCUAACUGAUUAUUAACGAAAUUCAAGUCAUUCAUACCGUUUAUCGCGAUCCUUCGGUCAUCGAGUUUAAUGUUAUUUUGUUGGAUUGAAAGCGUUCACUUUAGAGCUUGAACAUUGAGCCAGAAAACAGUGCUGGGAUUUUUUUUGUCCAAGAUUUCGGCGAUGUUGCCACAUAUUUCAUUUUAAGAGGGAUCAGAUGUCGCUUCUCUUAUAUGAAGGUUCACUAGUCAGUGGUUAUGAGAAUAUCUCUUAUAUUUUUUUAUAUUCUGAUACGACUCUAUAGAGUUUCGAAGACAAUAAUUUAUCUUGGAGGCACAUACAUCGUACUAAACGAGGUUUAGUUCACGCUUUCCGCGAUGCGUUUAAAAUAGCUUUAUGAAAUUAAGUACGAUUACGAGUGAUUCUUUGCAAAUCCAUCUGCACUUAAUUACAAUUUUAUUUAAUUUGUGAUCCCUAAAACAUUCUUAAAUUACAUACUACAAUCAUCCUGAUCAGAUUAAAUAUUUACCUUUAAAUGUUGCAUCUCAAUAUCUAAACAAAUAUUGAUAAAACAUUGAACCUGGCACCACUGAUGUAGACUUUGUUUUGGUAGUCAAACGCGAAGCACGAAAAAAUCGGUGUGGUCUUCUCGGUGGUCUUCGGUUCAGCAAAUUUGUGCGCUAUCUCGCCGGAUUCGCGCGGAACAUAAUUUUCAACACAGUCCGGGAGACGGAACGAAGUUUAUUCAGCAUUGCGACUGCUGUGAGCGGUUAUUCUACAUCUGCCGCUAGUUCCAGUCAGGGACUAGACCAAUCUUUGAAGCGGCUGGAUUAAGGUGUGAAACGCUCUGGAAGAAUUUUAAGCCGAGAUCUGAAAGAUGUUCCGGAGGAAAUCCGUAUUAAAUCUUGACUGGUUAUAUUCGUUGUUACGGCCACCUAGUUCCAGAAGGCCUUCCCGAGGUGCGUACAGCUCUGGUUCAGGAGUAAUGGAAAAACAGCUUGAACGCAGCAAUGGACAUUUCCCACUACAACGCCCUUCUUCGGGUGUAUAUGGAUAAUGAGAAUUCCUUCUCGCCAACGGAAUUUCUGGCGGAUUUGCAGGCCAAGAGCGUUGAACCGAAUCGGGUCACCUAUCAGCGAUUAAUUUCGCGCUACUGCCAAGAGGGAGCAAACAAGACUCUGGAAUUCUUGCGAGAGAAUCAGCUUCCAGUAAUUGGCAGCGUUUUCAACGCUGCGCCAGGACAAGUUGUUUUUCGCCACGUAUCGAUAUAGAGCGGCGCUAAAAAACGAUAUUCAAUAAAAUG